rnacentral:rRNA from 1 species
UACGAAGGGAGCUAGCGUUGUUCGGAAUCACUGGGCGUAAAGCGCACGUAGGCGGAUUUGUCAGUCAGGGGUGAAAUCCCGGGGGCUCAACCUCGGAACUGCCUUUGAUACAGCAAGUCUUGAGUUCGAGAGAGGUGGGUGGAAUUCCUAGUGUAGAGGUGAAAUUCGUAGAUAUCUGGAGGAAUACCGGUGGCGAAGGCGGCAUCCUGGACCGACAUUGACGCUGAACGGCGAAAGCUAGGGGAGCAAACGGG